rnacentral:rRNA from 1 species
ACUCAAAGGAAUAGACGGGGGCCCGCACAAGCGGCGGAGCGUGUGGUUUAAUUCGAUGCUACACGAAGAACCUUACCCAGGCUUGACAUGGGAGUGGUAGGGAAGGGAAACCGGACCGACCCGCAAGGGAGCUUUCACAGGUGCUGCAUGGCUGUCGUCAGCUCGUGCCGUGAGGUGUUAGGUUAAGUCCUGUAACGAGCGCAACCCGCGUCCGCAGUUACAAGUGUCUGCGGAGACUGCCGGUUUCAAGCCGGAGGAAGGUGCGGAUGACGUCAAGUCAGCAUGGCCUUUAUGCCUGGGGCUACACACACGCUACAAUGGGCGGUACAGUGGGACGCGAAGCCGCGAGGUGAAGCCAAUCCCCCAAAGCCGUUCGUAGUUCGGAUUGGAGGCUGCAACCCGCCUCCAUGAAGCCGGAGUCGCUAGUAACCGCGCGUCAGCUAUAGUGCGGUGAAUACGUUCCCGGGCCUUGUACACACCGCCCGU